rnacentral:rRNA from 1 species
AUUGAACGCUGGCGGCAGGCCUAACACAUGCAAGUCGAGCGGAUGACAGGAGCUUGCUCCUUGAUUCAGCGGCGGACGGGUGAGUAAUGCCUAGGAAUCUGCCUGGUAGUGGGGGACAACGUCUCGAAAGGAACGCUAAUACCGCAUACGUCCUACGGGAGAAAGCAGGGGACCUUCGGGCCUUGCGCUAUCAGAUGAGCCUAGGUCGGAUUAGCUAGUAGGUGAGGUAAUGGCUCACCUAGGCGACGAUCCGUAACUGGUCUGAGAGGAUGAUCAGUCACACUGGAACUGAGACACGGUCCAGACUCCUACGGGAGGCAGCAGUGGGGAAUAUUGGACAAUGGGCGAAAGCCUGAUCCAGCCAUGCCGCGUGUGUGAAGAAGGUCUUCGGAUUGUAAAGCACUUUAAGUUGGGAGGAAGGGCAGUAAGUUAAUACCUUGCUGUUUUGACGUUACCGACAGAAUAAGCACCGGCUAACUCUGUGCCAGCCGCCGCGGUAAAAC